CUUGGUCAUUUAGAGGAAGUAAAAGUCGUAACAAGGUUUCCGUAGGUGAACCUGCGGAAGGAUCAUUAACAAAAUAUGUGAUGGGAUCAUUGAUUGGGGAUAGUAAUAUCUUCAGUCUUGAUUCUGUUAGCCCACUCCCGAAAGGGAGAUGGACAACGUGUUCACUUUAAUGUGUUCACGAAAUAGACAUUAAAUCAUGACUUAUACCAAAACUCAAAAAUUAAAACCAAAACUUUUAACAAUGGAUCUCUUGGCUCUUGCAACGAUGAAGAACGCAGUGAAAUGCGAAACGUAAUGCGAUUUGCAGCAUCUGUGAGUCAUCGAGUCUUUGAACGCACUUGGCACCUGGAGAUGAUCCAGGUAUACCUGUUUGAGCAGAAUAUCUAAAUUCAUCUGAGUUUCACUUUCAAGAGUGUAACUUGAAAAAAGUUUGAGUGGGACGUGCAAUCAUUGCUUGUUCUGUGUGAUCGCAAGGCCGUGGUCUUGAUUCACAGAAUACGAAAUGUUCUUGUACGGUCAAUCCUUUUCAUUACCAAAACUUUUGUAAAUUCUCUCUCAAAUCAGGCAAGAUUACCCGCUGAACUUAAGCAUAUCAAUAAGCGGAGGA
rnacentral:rRNA from 1 species